UAUAGAUAGGAGAAUGGGGAACACCCAGGAAUGUUUAGCUAACUCGCCUGCAACAUUCAAGCGCGUGUGUCAAAGGUGUUUGCGGGGUGUUGACACCUCCACAUAGAGAGGUAGUAAGGUGAAUGACAUCACCAGUGGGCUGCUUGUGAUGAGUACUCCGUGUGUUUCACGGACCCAACGAAAAAAGGCACAACACUCAGAAAUAUCCCAAAACUAGAGCUGCAGGGCCUGAUAUUUGAUGGCUGUGACUGCAGCCUCUUGGCUUCAGACAAGCAUACAGGGCUGUCUUGCAGUACUCAGCAGUGGGCUCCAAAAUGCUGAAAUACAAUGUUGAAAUGUCUAUUUCACUUUCGCGGCUCCUCCCAUUGUAGAAGAGGGAUCAGGCGUUAUCCCCCACCCUAACCCCCGCCCGCUGUUUAUCGAAGAGAGAGGGAUUCAAGACUUAAACGACAGCACAUGCUAAGGUGAACCUUAGCCACCGAGACACACAGGCGAUAACCCAUUCAAUCAAACAACAACAUCAUGGCAGGCAGUAUGUAGGCAGAUAAAUGACGAUACAGUACGGUGUUCAAUGGGAAUUAAAAGUAUAGGGCAGCUGGGCUCUUAUCUGGCCAGAGCGAUGAAACCCGGCAACAAAGGGAGGCCUAAGACUAAGAGGCUUGAUGCAUGGGAAAGCCAUCGGCCAGCCAUUGUGGCUGCCCUUCUGCUGAGCAAAUAGUCCAAACUGUUCAUUCCCCAUCUCCCAUUCUCUCUGAGGUACAUUGUUUGUGUCCUUGCAUUUCAUUCUGACUGGGGAAGAUUGCUCUCAGGGCCAGUGAGCAAACAGUCCAGAAAAGAGCCGGCUAUCUCCUGACGUUCCCAGGAGAACUAGCAUUUUUAUUUCAGCUCCAAGCUGUCAAAGGAUUGGAGAGUUUGUGUCAGGAUCCUGAAUUAAUUGCUUUAAGCUGUGUGCGUGGGGGGGGACUGCAUUUUAUCACCAAAUGUUCAGUAAAAUGUUUCCUAGCAAUUAUGCACCCCUGCCCUGCAACGUAGGCUUUCAGUCACCAAACAUUUGGUGUUGGAUACAUACAGGAUGGAUUUCUGAAACUCAAAUGAUGCAUUUAGCUGUAAUGGCAGCACAAUGGUAUGAAUAGUGACAGGCCAGCGUCUGUCAAGGAUUUGUUGGUAUGGGAGUGAAUUGAAAAGUUUGUUCUUUUUUCUAUAAUAAUGAUAGGUACACGAGCCAGGCUUGGCAGAGAAUUGACCAAGCUUCCUCCAUAAAGUAUAUCUGGUCAGACAUUUGGUGGAACGGGAUAUAGAGUCUGGAACCUCUGACAGAACAGCUAACGUGAACUUAGAACCAUCUGUCACUCACAAAAUCAUCCCAAAUCACCGCUUACUUAGCAGCUAUAUAUUAGACAUUUUGGAUAUGUGACACUGCCAUAUCUGUUAGCUAACUACGCGCAGCUUCUAAUGCCAGAGACACCAAACCAGACAACUGUUCCUAUUUUGCCCUACCAAUUUGUCUAUCAUUAGAAAUAUCUUGAAUUAUGGUACAAAUGUCAUACAACGCCACACUGAUUAUGGCAACAAAAUUGUACGAUCGUUGAUUUUAUAGUUCAAGUCUAAUCAUGAAAACUAAAACAUACUCUUAUUCAAACCUGGUAUGCAUUUGCAUCUUAAACGCAUUAGCAAUAUUUGACUGUACCACAUGAUACUAUAGCAUUUGUAUGGAUUAGUUGUUUAGAAACUAUUAUCAAUCAGCUCACUGCCUCAAAGAGUUCAUCAUUUAAGUAAUGCUUUGCUUUGCAUGUUAACCCCACCUGAAAUUUGCAUCAAUAUAGUAACGCAACAGUCUCUGGAAUAAUGACCUCAAACAAGUCCAAACACACAGCUGCAGUAACUGUAACCAAUAUUUUCCAGAACAAUAUCAAAGGUGUGUUGCAACAACACACUGAAGAAACCAGAAAUAACAUUGCAUCCAUACAUUUUUUUUCUCUCUCUUUUGGUAUAAUCUGUUCAAUGCCACUAUUGCACAUGGGAAAAUAAAGGUAUCUGAUCAUGACACA
rnacentral:lncRNA from 1 species